rnacentral:rRNA from 1 species
AGUGAACGCUGGCGGUAGGCCUAACACAUGCAGGUCGAACGGCAGCACAGGAGAGCUUGCUCUCUAGGUGGCGAGUGGCGGACGGGUGAGGAAUACAUCGGAAUCUGCCCAGUCGUGGGGGAUAACGUAGGGAAACUUACGCUAAUACCGCAUACGACCUUCGGGUGAAAGAGGGGGAUCGCAAGACCUCUCGCGAUUGGAUGAGCCGAUGUCGGAUUAGCUAGUUAGCGGGGUAAUGGCCCACCAAGGCGACGAUCCGUAGCUGGUCUGAGAGGAUGAUCAGCCACACUGGAACUGAGACACGGUCCAGACUCCUACGGGAGGCAGCAGUGGGGAAUAUUGGACAAUGGGCGCAAGCCUGAUCCAGCCAUACCGCGUGGGUGAAGAAGGCCUUCGGGUUGUAAAGCCCUUUUGUUGGGAAAGAAAUCUUUCAGGCUAAUACCCUGGGAGGAUGACGGUACCCAAAGAAUAAGCACCGGCUAACUUCGUG